rnacentral:ncRNA from 2 species
ACACCACGCUAGGAGUGUCUGGGGAUUAUCCCCAGGCUGAGAUUACAUCCUCAGAACCUGAUCUGGUUCAUACCAGCGUAGGAAAGCGAGCACUGGAGUUG